GGCGAGGAUCCGUCGCCGCCGGUCCGUCGCCGAUUGCGGUCCGGGUGGCUGCCGCGACUCCGGGCGGAUAGGAAGAGUCCGGCGCCGCCGCCGCCGCCAUGAGCGAGAAGGGGGAGCUGGAUCUGACGGGCGCUAAGCAGAACACGGGGAUGUGGCUGGUCAAGGUCCCAAAAUACUUGUCUCAACAGUGGAAUAAAGCUUUAGGAAGAGGCGAAGUAGGAAAGCUAAGAAUUGCCAAAAAUCAAGGAAGAACAGAAGUCUCUUUCACCUUGAACGAAGAUCUUGCAAACAUCGACGGUAUUGGGGGGAAGGCAACGUCCAUCAGUGCGCCGAGAGACCACCCCUUUCUUCUACAAAAUGUAGGAGGACAGACCCUAACCGUCUUUACCGAGAGCUCUGGAGAGAGCCAGACAGAUGAAAAAUCAGACAGCAGCAAUAAUGAAAAACUGUCCCUGGAAGGAAUCGUGGUCCAGCGGGCAGAAUGCCGACCGGCAGCCAACGAAAAUUACAUGAAACUGAAACGACUGCAGAUAGAAGAAUCCUCAAAGCCCGUCAGCUGGACGAUGCAGCUGGAUAAGGCGGUCACCACCAAUUACAAGCCCGUGGCUAAUCAUCAGUACAACAUUGAGUACGACAAGAAGAAAAAAGAGGACGGCAAGCGGGCCCGAGCUGAAAAGCAGCAAGUGCUGGACAUGCUCUUCUCUGCUUUUGAGAAACACCAGUAUUACAAUAUUAAAGACUUGGUGGAUAUAACUAAACAGCCCGUGAUCUAUUUAAAGGAGAUUUUGAGAGAAAUAGGCAUCUAUAAUUUUAAGGGGCCACACAAAAGCACUUGGGAACUGAAGCCGGAAUACAGGCAUUAUCAGAAUGAAGAUAAAAGCGAUUAGCAACCUGGAAGCCAUCAACUUUGAAAGCAGAAGAAAACUUCCAUCAUUCAAAGAACAAAUGGUUGUCCAAUCUCUUCUUCAAAGUCUUCAGUGAUGGAGCAUCCACAGCUUCUGGAGGAAAGCGGUUCCACCGGUUGAUUGCUGUCCACGUUAGCAAAAUUCUACUCAGUUCUAGGUUGCUUCUCUCCUUCUUUAACUUCAAAAGCAGGUGUGAUGUACAAAGGGAUAGUGUUAUGUCUUAGACAUACUAUAUGGUUGGACAUCUUCCAUCGGGGUUAUCAGCACAGAUGUGUUGUGGCCGCUCCAAUUCUGGCUUUGCACCAGAAUCUUGGGAUGAACCAAGAUGUAGAAUCUGGCUAAACUUGGCAGAACAUAGAUGUUCUAGAGCAGUGUUUCCCAAACUUGACAAU